rnacentral:lncRNA from 1 species
AGCGACAGAGGGCGCACCAGUGAUGGAGGAGAAAAAUCCUUUCACUUGUGGGGCGGCCACUGUUAGGAUCAAGUCAAUGAUUUUCCAGGUGGUUGCCCAAAGGGAGAAGAAACUCAGGAUUUCUGGUGGGUCCUGGUGGGGAGACAGAUGAUCAGCCACCUGCCACGGGGCUGGGUCUUCUCCGGAAUCAGGAAACCAAUGGAUGUCCAAGACCCCAAGGACCAAUGAGCCCAAAAGUUACAUUUCACGAGACUGAUGCAUGGAGUGAACACAAAACUCCUGAUACCUGGACGGACCGUGUCAGAAUGAUUCGUGAGGGUAAACAAAGGCCCCACUUGCUUACUCCUAAAACCACACCUACAUGGUUCUCAGAAACAACCCAGUAAUUCAUUUCGAGACUCUGCUCCGCCUCAUUCCUUAGAAAUCCUCCCCCAAUAAACUUUGUGCUAGGCUGUACAAAAUGUCAGCCAUGUGCAAUCGAAAAAACAGCGACUGCCUAAGGAAAACAAAUGUAGCUAACACAGGGGUGGAAAACCUAAGAAAAACUCAGGGUCACACGCGCUCCCCAGCCCUCCCCGCCCCCCCCAAGAUUAGUGGACAAGAUGGCGGAGCCCUGCAACGUGGGAAAGAGAUGGCGCAGCCAGACUGCGGUACAAAGGCACACUAGCUCUGGGAGUCUUCGUUCGCUCCGGCGGCAAGAGACCUCCCCACCCUGAGCGCCCUUUGCAAAGUGUGCCCGACCCGCAAAGAACCCUAGGCUCGCCUCGGAACGCGCACUGGGGUCUCACAGGGACUCAGACCCCUUUCACGCGACGACCUGGCCGCCUCGCCGCAGCCCUUGGGCACCUUCUCACAGAAGCGACCCAGAUCCCAAAGCCCAAACGCGAGAACGGAAUGAAGCCAAAAGGUUCUCAUCCAUAUGAGCAUGGGCUUCAUGAUGCUGGCCCUGACCCUGUGCCUCAUCCUCCUCCCCACCAUGGGCCUCUCCUUCCGGCCAGUGUUCCGACGCCUUACUAAGGUCGACCUUGUCUUCAGUUUUCUCAGCUUCAGCAUUGGUAAGUGUCGGGUUGGGGAA